rnacentral:rRNA from 1 species
CGCCUGUUUAACAAAAACAUAGUUUAAGGAUUACAUGUCUUAAAUAAAACCUGCUCAAUGAAUAUUGUUAAAUAGCUGCAGUAAAUUAACUGUACUAAGGUAGCAUAAUAAAUUGCUUUGUAAUUUAAAGCUAGAAUGAAUGGACUAAUGAAAAAUUAACUCUUUAAGAAUUAAAAAGUAGAAAUUAAUAUUUAAGUGAAAAAUCUUAAAUAUACUCAAAAGACAAGAAGACCCUUUAGAAUUUUAUAACCUUACAGGUAUUUUUAUCGAUAAGAGAGUUAUUAAAUUGGGGAGAUUAAAAAAUUAUAAAAUCUUUUUUUAUUUUCUAAAUGUUAAAACAGAAAUAAAUUAUCCAAAUAUGAAAAAAACCAAAUUACCUAAGGGAUAACAGCGUAAAGUUUUUAGAAAGAUCUUAUUAAUAAAAUAAUUUACGACCUCGAUGUUGGAUUAAGAAUUACUUAUAGAGAAGAAUUUAUAAGUAGUGGUCUGUUCGACCAAUAAUUUCUUACGUGAUCUGAGUUCAGACCGG